ACAGGAAGUGGGAGAGGAGACACUCAUUGCCUAUCAGUGUCUGUGUGGGAAACCGCAUCCAUCAAUAAAGGAAGUAUUUGUCCAUGUGGCUCAGGUAACAUGGUUGCAUCUGCAGGACAGAGCAAUACCGGCCAGGAGAUGAUGCUGCAGGACACGAUUUCAAGAUUUUGAAUAAGAAGACCUGAAUUGGACAGAGGUUCAUGCUGGUGAAAUUGGCAGGGCUUUGAAACCUGUGGAAGCGAAGCGACCGUAAAGGGCCUUGAAGGCAGAUGAGGAUCCUGGAGUGUGAGAAGUUUUCUUGUGACGGGACACCUGUUUUCUGGCUGAUAUCUUGUCUUUCUGUGGGUGAGGAUGCUGAGCACCUGCACAUUGACAAUUACGUGCUCAUUAAAUUUAAAGCACGAUCGUCCAGUUUAAACAUCACACAGCUGAUUCCUUUGGUGACUAACAUAUGGCGUGAACUAUAGUCAUGUAUAUGUGACUAUGAUUUCACCCUUUUAUUUAAAAUUUAAAAAGUAUCACAAAGUAUGUUUUUUGAUUGGAUCAUUACCACUGGAAAUCCUCCCGCCCCGAAUCAGUGCCUUGCCGAUGCUCUGAAUACAUCAGAAACCAGAUGCAGCCAUUAAUGGAUGAGCAUAAAGUAUUG